rnacentral:rRNA from 1 species
AUUGAGCGCUGGCGGCAGGCCUAACACAUGCAAGUCGAGCGGAUGAAGGGAGCUUGCUCCUGGAUUCAGCGGCGGACGGGUGAGUAAUGCCUAGGAAUCUGCCUGGUAGUGGGGGAUAACGUCCGGAAACGGGCGCUAAUACCGCAUACGUCCUGAGGGAGAAAGUGGGGGAUCUUCGGACCUCACGCUAUCAGAUGAGCCUAGGUCGGAUUAGCUAGUUGGUGGGGUAAAGGCCUACCAAGGCGACGAUCCGUAACUGGUCUGAGAGGAUGAUCAGUCACACUGGAACUGAGACACGGUCCAGACUCCUACGGGAGGCAGCAGUGGGGAAUAUUGGACAAAGGGCGAAAGCCUGAUCCAGCCAUGCCGCGUGUGUGAAGAAGGUCUUCGGAUUGUAAAGCACUUUAAGUUGGGAGGAAGGGCAGUAAGUUAAUACCUCGCUGUUUUGACGUUACCAACAGAAUAAGCACCGGCUAACUUCGUG